rnacentral:rRNA from 1 species
CUCGCGCUAUAAGGUUGGCCGAUGGCUGAUUACCUAGUCCGUGGGGUAAAGGCCUACCAAGGCGACGAUCAGUAGCUGGUCUGAGAGGACGACCAGCCACACUGGGAUUGAGACACGGCCCAGACUCCUACGGGAGGCAGCAGUGGGGAAUUUUGGACAAUGGGCGAAAGCCGUGAUCCAGCAAUGCCGCGUGUGUGAAGAAGGCCUUCGGGUUGUAAAGCACUUUUGUCCGGAAGAAAUCCUUGGCUCUAAUACAGUCGGGGGAUGACGGUACCCGGAAGAAUAAGCACCGGCAUCAUCG